CGAACGCUGGCGGCAUGCCUAACACAUGCAAGUCGAACGAGACCUUCGGGUCUAGUGGCGCACGGGUGCGUAACGCGUGGGAAUCUGCCCUCUGGUACGGAAUAACUCAGGGAAACUUGAGCUAAUACCGUAUAAUGACUUCGGUCCAAAGAUUUAUCGCCUGAGGAUGAGCCCGCGUAGGAUUAGCUUGUUGGUGAGGUAAAGGCUCACCAAGGCGACGAUCCUUAGCUGGUCUGAGAGGAUGAUCAGCCACACUGGGACUGAGACACGGCCCAGACUCCUACGGGAGGCAGCAGUGGGGAAUAUUGGACAAUGGGCGAAAGCCUGAUCCAGCAAUGCCGCGUGAGUGAUGAAGGCCUUAGGGUUGUAAAGCUCUUUUACCCGGGAUGAUAAUGACAGUACCGGGAGAAUAAG
rnacentral:rRNA from 1 species